AUGCAGUCGACGGGAAGCGGUGCUUAUUACUUCGGUGAUUUAGCGCCGUGGAGAGUGGCGAACGGGUGCGUAACACGUAGGUAACCUGCCCUGAAAUGGGGGAUAACCACGGGAAACUGUGGCUAAUACCGCAUAAUCUCGCCGGGGCGGUGGUUUCGGUGAGGAAAGCUGAGGCGAUUUGGGAGGGGCCUGCGGUCGAUUAGCUGGUUGGUGGGGUAAAGGCCUACCAAGGCGAUGAUCGAUAGCUGUUCUGAGAGGAAGACCAGCCACACGGGAACUGAGACACGGUUCCGACUCCUACGGGGGGCAGCAGUGAGGAAUAUUGCGCAAUGGGGGCAACCCUGACGCAGCAACGCCGCGUGGAGGACGAAGGUUUUCGGAUUGUAAACUCCUUAUCUGGGGGAAGAGGAAGGACGGUACCCCAGGACGAAGACACGGCUAACUAGGUGCCAGCAGCCGCGGUAAUACCUAGGUGUCGAGCGUUAUCCGGAAUUACUGGGCGUAAAGGGUGCGCAGGCGGCGAUACAAGUCUGGCGUGAAAGCUUCUGGCUUAACUGGGAGAGGACGUUGGAAACUGUAUGGCUAGAGUGAAUGAGAGGGGGGCGGAAAUCCCGGUGUAGUGGUGGAAUGCGUAGAUAUCGGGAAGAACACCAGAGGCGAAGGCGGCCUCCUGGCAUUUUACUGACGCUGAGGCACGAAAGCGUGGUAGCGAACGGGAUUAGAUACCCCGGUAGUCCACGCUGUAAACGAUGUGAACGAGGUGUGGGCGGUGUAGAGCCGUCUGUGCCGGAGCA
rnacentral:rRNA from 1 species